rnacentral:tRNA from 1 species
GGAGAGCUGCGGGAGCGGCCGAACCGGCACGCUUGGAAAGCGUGUGAGGGGCAACCCUCCGUGGGUUCAAAUCCCACGCUCUCCG